rnacentral:rRNA from 1 species
UCAUUCAAUAAGCGGAGGAAAAGAAACUAACAAGGAUUCCCCUAGUAACUGCGAGUGAAGCGGGAAAAGCUCAAAUUUAAAAUCUGGCAGUUUUACUGUCCGAGUUGUAAUCUGGAGAAGCAUUUUCUGUGUCGGACCGUGUACAAGUCUCUUGGAACAGAGCGUCAUAGAGGGUGAGAAUCCCGUCCAUGACACGGACUACCGAUGCUUUGUGAUAUGCUCUCGAAGAGUCGAGUUGUUUGGGAAUGCAGCUCAAAAUGGGUGGUAAAUUCCAUCUAAAGCUAAAUAUUGGCGAGAGACCGAUAGCGAACAAGUACCGUGAGGGAAAGAUGAAAAGCACUUUGGAAAGAGAGUUAAACAGUACGUGAAAUUGUUGAAAGGGAAACGCUUGAAGUCAGUCGCGUUGUCUGAGACUCAGCCUUGCUUGCAUGGUGUACUUCUCAGUUAACGGGUCAACAUCAAUUUUGGUUGGUGGAUAAAGGUAUUGGAAAUGUGGCACCUUCGGGUGUGUUAUAGUCCUUUGCUGCAUACACUGACUGGGAUUGAGGAACGCAGCACGCCAUUAUGGCCGGGGGUUCGCCUCACGUAACGUGCUUAGGAUGUUGGCAUAAUGGCUUUAAGCGACCCGUCUUGAAACACGGACCAAGGAGUCUAACAUGCUUGCGAGUGUUAGGGUGGAAAACCCUUGCGCGUAAUUAACGUGAAAGUUGGGACCCUUCGCGGGGGCACCGACGCCCGGCCCUGAAGUUUACUGACGGUGCUGCGGUAGAGCACGUAUGUUGGGACCCGAAAGAUGGUGAACUAUGCCUGAAUAGGGUGAAGCCAAGGGAAACUUUGGUGGAGGCUCGUAGCGAUUCUGACGUGCAAAUCGAUCGUCAAAUUUGGGUAUAGGGGCGAAAGACUAAUCGAACCAUCUAGU